AGGAUGAACGCUGGCGGCGUGCCUAAUACAUGCAAGUCGAACGAAUCUCUUCGGAGAUGAGUGGCGAACGGGUGAGUAAUACAUAGGUAACCUGCCCCUGUGCGGGGGAUAACAGGAGGAAACUCCUGCUAAUACCGCAUAGCCAUGAGCACCGCAUGGAGCUCAUGCCAAAUAUCCUUUCGGGGAUAGCGCAGGGAUGGACCUAUGGCGCAUUAGCUUGUUGGCGGGGCAACGGCCCACCAAGGCAACGAUGCGUAGCCGGCCUGAGAGGGCGGACGGCCACAUUGGGACUGAGACACGGCCCAGACUCCUACGGGAGGCAGCAGUAGGGAAUUUUCGGCAAUGGGGGAAACCCUGACCGAGCAACGCCGCGUGAGCGAAGAAGGCCUUCGGGUCGUAAAGCUCUGUUGUAAAGGAAGAACGGCGCAUACAGGAAAUGGUAUGCGAGUGACGGUACUUUACCAGAAAGCCACGGCUAACUACGUGCCAGCAGCCGCGGUAAUACGUAGGUGGCGAGCGUUAUCCGGAAUCAUUGGGCGUAAAGAGGGAGCAGGCGGCCGCAAGGGUCUGUGGUGAAAGACCGAAGCUAAACUUCGGUAAGCCAUGGAAACCGGGCGGCUAGAGUGCGGAAGAGGAUCGUGGAAUUCCAUGUGUAGCGGUGAAAUGCGUAGAUAUAUGGAGGAACACCAGUGGCGAAGGCGACGGUCUGGGCCGCAACUGACGCUCAUUCCCGAAAGCGUGGGGAGCAAAUAGGAUUAGAUACCCUAGUAGUCCACGCCGUAAACGAUGGUCACUAAGUGUCGGGGGUCAAACCCCGGUGCUGCAGUCAACGCAAUAAGUGACCCGCCUGAGUAGUACGUUCGCAAGAAUGAAACUCAAAUGAAUUGACGG
rnacentral:rRNA from 1 species